CAGCCGCCGCGGGAAUACGUAGGUGGCAAGCGUUGUCCGGAAUUAUUGGGCGUAAAGGGCGCGUAGGCGGUUUGGCAAGUUUCGUGUGAAAUCUUCGGGCUCAACUCGAAGUCUGCACGGAAAACUGCCGGGCUUGAGUAUGGGAGAGGUGAGUGGAAUUUCCGGUGUAGCGGUGAAAUGCGUAGAUAUCGGAAGGAACACCUGUGGCGAAAGCGGCUCACUGGACCAUUACUGACGCUGAGGCGCGAAAGCUAGGGGAGCAAACAGGAUUAGAUACCCCUGUAGUCCCUGUCUCUUAUAC
rnacentral:rRNA from 1 species